rnacentral:rRNA from 1 species
GAUGAACGCUAGCGGGAGGCCUAACACAUGCAAGCCGAGCGGGAUUUGUUGGUUAGCUUGCUAACUAACAAUGAGAGCGGCGUACGGGUGCGUAGCACGUGUGCAACCUGCCUUUAUCUGGGGGAUAGCCUUUCGAAAGGAAGAUUAAUACCCCAUAACAUAUUGAUUGGCAUCAGUUAAUAUUGAAAGCUCCGACGGAUAGAGAUGGGCACGCGUAAGAUUAGCUAGUUGGUGAGGUAACGGCUCACCAAGGCUGCGAUCUUUAGGGGGCCUGAGAGGGUGAUCCCCCUCACUGGUACUACGACACUGACCAUACGUCGACGGGAGGCAGCAGUGAGGAAUAUGGUACAAUGAGUGAGAGCCUGAUCCAGCCAUCCCGCGUGAAGGACUAAGGACCUAUGGUUUGUAAUCUUCUUUUAUACAGAGAUAAACCUACUCUCGUGAGGGUAGCUGAAGGUACUGUAUGAAUAAGCACCGGCUAACUCCGUG